CAAAGAAAGAAGACUUCGGAACAGUAUCGUUCAGUGGAUCAUCAUCGGUAGAAGCUCCUUCAUCGUCAUCUGCUAGCAUUAUCAACCCUGGACAGACCGCGACAGGUUUGUUUAUAAUAAGACCCUCAAUGAACUCGUGAAUAUGCAAUAAUUUGUGAUAAUUGGUAACCAACUGGCAAUGACUGCACCUAAAAGUUGAAGCCCCUUAUCCAGGAUUCCUUCAGACUGGGGAAACACAUGUGGUGAUUGGGCAGCAGGACAUCGUACUGCAACAGAACGUUCCUCUUCCAAAGCCUGGAGAUGCAGCUCACCUAGAUAAACAGAAACAAGGUAGGCCUGAUCAGGAUUCGUGAACCAUAUUGUUUCUUAUUUCUAGUAGAAGAUGAAUCAUGCCGAUGAUAGUCUCUCAUUUUUUUUAUCUGGUCUCUUGCAAAUUUUGAAGAAACUCCACCAGCAAGCCACACAUUUCCUACACCGGGAGUCAAGAUCCCAGAUGCAAAUCCAGCUAAAUUUAUACCAGGUGUGGUGUGGUUACACCAUUAUUGAGGAGCCAGCUUUACAUAUAUUGAUUGUCGCAUUGCAUAUAUGACUUGCAGAUGUGGUGAGGCCAAUGGUAGAUAAACCAAGUCGAGGCAUUGUGAUUCCUCCUGAAGCAGUUGAGUCACAAACUCGACCUGAGCAUUCAUCAGUGCAAAUAGGGCCUGAUGCGAGCAUGCCAUUGAUUGAUACUCCUGCACCAGAGCAAAGGGAUGAUUGGGACAUCCUGAAAGCUAUCGUAUACGGUGGCCUCGUGGAAUCGAUCACCAGCCUCUCUGUGGUUUCAGCAGCUGCAUCCAGCGGCGCCAGGACAUGUAAAGCUUCCUCUCUGUUGUUGAUUCUGGUUCCUUCCUUCCUGCAUCAGCCAUCACAUAUGUUGGUCGAUUUGCAGUGGACAUAUUCAUCUUGGGCAUAGCAAACCUCAUCGGUGGACUUCCCAUCAUCUUUCACAGCGUAAAAACUCAAAAUCAUAUCUUGACUACUAGAUUCUCUUGAAUUGAAUAAAUUUCUAAUUUAUGGGGUUUGAAUUUAGAUGGCUGAGCUGAGAAGCAUUGGAGAUGUGGAUGAGAGGGAGGAGCAGGGCGGUCACUACUGGUUGCAGCUGGGGAGGCGAUCCAAGUACCGGCUGCAUGUCGCCAUGGCCGUGCUGUCCUACCUCCUCUUCGGCCUGCUGCCGCCGCUCAUCUACGGCCUCUCCUUCCGCGGCGGCGACGUGAGGGAGAAGAAGAUGGUGGCGG
rnacentral:lncRNA from 1 species